rnacentral:rRNA from 1 species
GUGAGGAAUUUUCCGCAAUGGGCGAAAGCCUGACGGAGCAAUGCCGCGUGAAGGAUGAAGGCCUAUGGGUUGUAAACUUCUUUUCUUAGAGAAGAAUAUUGACGGUAUCUGAGGAAUAAGCAUCGGCUAACUCUGUGCCAGCAGCCGCGGUAAGACAGAGGAUGCAAGCGUUAUCCGGAAUGAUUGGGCGUAAAGCGUCUGUAGGUGGCUUCAAAAGUCUCCUGUCAAAGAUCAGGGCUUAACCCGGGGCCGGCAGGAGAAACUCUGAGGCUAGAGUUUGGUAGGGGCAGAGGGAAUUCCCAGUGGAGCGGUGAAAUGCGUAGAGAUCGGGAGGAACACCAAAGGCGAAAGCACUCUGCUGGGCCACAACUGACACUGAGAGACGAAAGCGAGGGGAGCAAAAGGGAUUAGAAACCCUUGUAGUCC